AGCAGCCGCGGUAAUUCCAGCUCCAAUAGCGUAUAUUAAAGUUGUUGCAGUUAAAAAGCUCGUAGUUGAACUUCGGGAUCAAUUAGUUGGUCAUGCCUUGGUAUGUACUGAUUUUAUUGGUUCUCACCUUCUAAAGAACUAUAAUGUCAUUUAUUUGAUGUUAUAGGGAAUUAGGACUGUUACCUUGAAAAAAUUAGAGUGUUUAAAGCAGGCUCACGCUUGAAUACAUUAGCAUGGAAUAAUGAAAUAGGACAUCGCAUUCUAUUUUGUUGGUUUCUAGGAUCGAUGUAAUGAUUAAUAGGGAUAGUUGGGGGCAUUAGUAUUCAAUUGUCAGAGGUGAAAUUCUUGGAUUUAUUGAAGACUAACUACUGCGAAAGCAUUUGCCAAGGAUGUUUUCAUUAAUCAAGAACGAAAGUUAGGGGAUCGAAGACGAUCAGAUACCGUCGUAGUCUUAACCAUAAACUAUGCCGACUAGGGAUCGGAUGAUGUUGAUUUUUAAUGACUC
rnacentral:rRNA from 1 species